rnacentral:rRNA from 1 species
AUUGAACGCUGGCGGCAUGCUUUACACAUGCAAGUCGAACGGUAACAGGCCGCAAUGUGCUGACGAUUGGCUGACGGGUGAGUAAUUCAUCGGAACGUGCCCAGUCGUGGGGGAUAACUACUCGAAAGAGUAGCUAAUACCACAUACGAUCUAUGGAUGAAAUCGGGGGACCGGAGGGCCUCUCUCGGUUGUGGGAUCCGCUGUCAGAUUAGGUGGUUGGUGGGGUAAAGGUUGACUAAGCCAACGAACUGUAGUUGGUGUGAGAGGACGACGAGCGACACUGGGACUGGGACAGGGCCAAGAGUACUACGAGAGGCAGCAGUGGGGAAUUUUGGACAAUGGGUGCAAGCCUGAUCCAGUAAUGCCGAGCGCAGGAAGAAGGCGUUGGGGUUGUAAACUGGUUUUGUACGGAAUGAAACGGUUCCGGUUAAUACCAGGGGCUAAUGACGGUACCGUAAGAAUAAGCACCGGCUAACUACGUG